rnacentral:rRNA from 1 species
GACGAACGCUGGCGGCGUGCUUAACACAUGCAAGUCGAACGGAAAGGCCUCGUUCGUGUGGUACUCUAGUGGCGAACGGGUGAGUAACACGUGAGUAUCCUGCCCUUUACUUUGUGGUAACUUCACAAGACUGUGGCUAUUACAGCGUAGGAGCUCCUGCGGCAUGGUGGGGGUGGUGGAGAUUCUCGGCGGUUGGGUGUGGACGCGCGGCUUAUCAGUGUGUUGGUGGGGUAGUGGCUUACCAAGGCUUUGACGGGUAGCCGGCCUGAGAGGGUGACCGGCCACAUUGGGACUGAGAUACGGCCCAGACUCCUACGGGAGGCAGCAGUGGGGAAUAUUGCACAAUGGGCGGAAGCCUGAUGCAGCAACGCCGCGUGCGGGAUGACGGCCUUCGGGUUGUAAACCGCUUUCGCCUGUGACGAAGCGUGAGUGACGGUAAUGGGUAAAGAAGCACCGGCUAACUACGUG